rnacentral:rRNA from 1 species
GAUGAACGCUGGCGGCGUGCCUAAUACAUGCAAGUCGAACGCACCACUUCGGUGGUGAGUGGCGAACGGGUGAGUAACACGUAGAUAACCUGCCCUUAAGACGAGGAUAACCAUUGGAAACGAUGGCUAAGACUGGAUAGGAAUAUUGGAGGCAUCUCUGAUAUUUUAAAAGACCUAGCAAUAGGUAUGCUUAAGGAGGGGUCUGCGGCGCAUUAGUUAGUUGGUGAGGUGAUGGCUUACCAAGACGAUGAUGCGUAGCCGGACUGAGAGGUUGGACGGCCACAUUGGGACUGAGAGACGGCCCAAACUCCUACGGGAGGCUG